AGGGAAGGAAACCUCACUGGAGGAACAGGAAGGAGUUCUACUGGACAUAAUGCGGUCAGGGAGGUGACUCUCAAGGACUGACUCCACAAUAAGUGUUGGACUAUUAACAUCAAGGAAUAAGUGAAGACAUGGCAACCCUACUGGUAUCACUUAUAUUAUAUGCCCAUACAAUAGAAGCAUUGCUGAGUAGGGCAGCCUGCUUUUGAAAUAUUCACAGAAUUACAGCCUGCAAAGCUCCUAGAGCCUGCCAACGUGCAUAUACUCAGUCCCACA